rnacentral:sRNA from 1 species
CGAUGGGCUUCGCCCAUCGCUGAUUUAUUCCGCCCCUGCGGGGCU